UACGUAGGCAGCGAGCGUUGUUCGGAGUUACUGGGCGUAAAGAGUGCGUAGGCGGUUUUCUAAGUUUGGUGUGAAAUCUCCCGGCUUAACUGGGAGGGUGCGCCGAAGACUGGAAGGCUAGAGUAUGGGAGAGGUAAGCGGAAUUCCUGGUGUAGCGGUGAAAUGCGUAGAUAUCAGGAGGAAUACCGGUGGCGAAGGCGAGUCCCUGGACAACUUCUGACGCUGAGGCGCGACAGCGUGGGGAGCAAACAGG
rnacentral:rRNA from 1 species